AUGACAAAAAAAAAAAAAAAAAGUUUUUAUUUUCCUUGAUAUUAAUAGAACUCAUAAAAGGAAAUAUUACAAGCUUUCACUGAGCUUUGUGAAUGUAAGUCACCAUAGAAAUGGAAAGUAUUGUUAUUAAAAAGAAAAACAGUGAUUUCAGGUCCUGAGCCAAAACGAGCCAGGAUAUGGAAAGAGCCACAUCCAAAGCCCUCUGGAAUUAAUCAAAGUCUUUCCAUUGCUUGCUGUGGAACUUUAUUCAAGUUGUGAAUUUCUCAUGGUGACAUCUGUGCGUCCUUCAGUGAUGGAUGUGGUGAAACAGUGCUGAAGACAAUCACAGAGAGAUGCCAUUGCUGCAAAAUGACAAUUUCCUGGCUUUGUGUAGCAUUUCUUCAGUUUUUCAUGCCAUUCUUUGGAUGUCAUCAUUCAUCUGUUUCCCACGACUCUUUUCUGUUUCCUACUUCGAUUUAAUCCCCCCCUUUUUUUCUCCUUUCACAAGGUAAAGUAAUAACUUAUACAAUCAGAUAUAAAACAUCAUUCUGGAAAAUGACAAGUCAUACUUUCUGGUUUACUCUAUAGUAUUUAUUUUCUGCUUUCCACAGGUAAGGGUGGAAAUGAAGUACAGUAUUUGAGACUACCUGAGGAAUAACACCAUCAGUCCUUUCCCAUGUGAGAUGAAAUUACAACAUGUUUUCAUGCCACUUCUCCAUGUGUAAGUUCUGAUGUCUUCUUACAUUAGAAAUAUGCAGGAAAAAUGAAAGUGUAGUCAUUUCCUUGCUUUCCAUUUCAUAGGAAAACACAUUUAUAUGAUUUUGUUCCAUCACUUUGAAACUGCGGGAGAGUUUAGGUCCAAUUUAGGUCUCCUAAACAUGUGCAAAGUUAUAUGAGUUCAACUUAUGUAAGCCUUGCAUGAGUGUUACUGAGCUGGACUACUGCUCCUCAGUGCAUGCAUUGUCCUGCAACACAAUUGUCCAGCUCAUAGCUGGCCCAAAGGGACUAAGGAAGUACACAAUACACACCUAGAAAACAGUACAUUGUCAAUAUGUGGGGGUGAUACCUUCACUUUGAUCUACACAAACUGGGAGCAGGAGCAACUUGGAUUUGUGCAUUGAGGAUGUGUAGGUCUAGAAAGGGUCUCUAGAUUCCAGAAACACUGUGAUAUGGCAGGCUUUUAAAGAUUAUUCCACUUUAGUAAAACAAUAAGAAAGCAAAGAGAGACUAUUGACUUCCCAAAUAAGUCUGACACAGUGAACAUCACUGCCUGCUAUUUCUUUCCCCUCAUAAAAAACUUUUUUUAAGCACCACACCUAAUACCUUCAAAACCAUCAAGUCUUGUCUCCAACCAAAGUAAUAUUUCAUUCUAUCUGAAAUCUAGUCAAUCUGGCAGGGCUGGUGUACCAAACUCUCCCAUUAUGUGGUUAUCAAAAAGAAAAUAAGGUUACUGAACGUGUCUGCAUCACAUCUUACCUUCUGAACAAGCAAACUUGGUUUGACAUAGACCCUUGAAACAAGGCUUUCCUUUCCUAAAUGCCCUUUUCUGUGUCUUUUAUUUCUUGAGCUCUCUCUAGUCCCAAAUUUAUGUUGAAACUAUUUCAAAGUCAGAUAUUUUUCUGUCUCACUCUUUUCUCAAAGCCUCUAUAAAACUGACCUCAUUGUGCAGGGUGGUCUGUCCUUUCAUUUUAGGCUGUUGGAAGGGCAAGUAAAAGCCUCUUGUGUAUGUUAGCAAAACUUCUCCUUCGUUGACAAACAGCCACUAAAUGGUGACAUGGAUACUCACAUUCUGGAAGUAAUCAUGUGAAGCAGCAGCUAGGAUAAACUAAAGCUGCCUUCUCCAUGUGCUAUCUUGAGUAUUUGCCUCCAGGGAGUGAGAUUUUAGUAGCAUUCCUCUGUUAUAAAAUACUUGAGUGACCACAGUGACUUCCCCAAGUGUCUGACCAUAGGUCUGAAUUUUCCUGAAAAUUUGGAAUAGGUACUCCCUGAAUCGUUACAGAUAACACAAGGUCCCAUGGUGGAUUUAAAAUUGUUGAACAGGAAAGUUCAGGUGUUUUGUGAGGUCCAAAUCCAUCACCAGAACAUCUUCUUCCCAUGAAAUAUUUGUCCAGUCUCCUAUUAAAACUUUUAUCACAGAGAAGCCUGAAAAUCCUUCACCUAUUCUUGGGCUUCACUGGCUCUGCAAUUGAUAAACUUUUGUUUCACUUCAUUGUCCUUUUUUUCAGGCUAAAGCCACUGUUUACCCAUCCACUACAGGCAGAACAUGCCUCAACCAUUCAACAUCUUGCUCUGAGAAAAGCAAAGCAGCUCAGUUAUUGCAGGAUAGCCUGGCACAGUGGGAAAAGGUGAUAGGAAAUUAUAACAAACCCCUGCCAGAAGAAUUUUGAUGUAAUCUUUGAUUUAGCCAUGAAAAGUAUAUAUUUUAAAAUUACUCCAUAACUAUUGGUUCAUAAUUUGGAAAAGUUAUAGUUGACUUCCUGUACAUGAAGAGAGCCUACGAGAGAGCUGGAGAGGCACUUUUUACAAGGGCAUGUAGUGCCAGGACAUGGGCUAGUGGCUUCAAACCUAGAGCAGGUUUAGAUUAGGUGGUAGAAGGAAAUUCUUUACUGUAAGAAGGGUGAGCCACUGGAACAGGUUGACCAGAGAAGCUGUGGAUGUCUCUCUCAUCCCUGAGAAUGCUCCAGGCCAGUGUGGAUGGGGUUCUGAGCAACUUGGUCUAGCGGACUAUGUGUCUGCCGAAGGCAGGGGGGUUAGAACUGGAUGAACUUUAACAUCUUUUCCAAUCCAAACCACUCUAUGACUCUGUGAUUCUGUAAGAUUACUGUUUGGAUUUUCAGGGGCUGGCUGCAUAGCUGCAGAUCAAAAUAAUUGGCUGAGGUGUGACCAGCCUUCAGGUGGAAACUCAAUAUCUAUCUAAAUUUUAAAUGAAAUGCCCAAACAAAAGAGGUCUGAUGAAAUCCCUUCCACUUUUCAUACAGGCAUAUAUCUUCUCUGUGCAGCCAGGAGCUGGAGUGAAUUCUCCGGACAUCUCAUUUACUCAAGUCAGAUUCUGGUAGGGAACGUAGCAGAACCUUUCUCAAAUGCCACAUGUACUUCAGUAGCCUUGUAGGCCACUAAUUGUAGAAUCCCCAGACCAAGUGACUAAAAUAGAAACUAUUUUCUUUUUCAUUCUGAUCCCCAUAACAUUGUCACUUUGAGUUAGGAAGGGAUUUAGAGCACAAAAUAUAAGAUUAAAAAAAAAAUAGAUGCUUCAUCCUAAAUCUUACUACUACAGAAAUAAUAUCAUUGGUCAUGGCCUUCAGAUUUAGGAAAUUAUGCUUUCAAACAAAAGUGAAUAUAAGACACAAGCAAGACUCGAUUUCAGCCAAAACACAUUAAGAGGUAAGACUUGUCAAAAAUACAAUAAUGGCAACAGUAAGGGAAUUUAGUUUGACCUGCAUUUUUUGAACAUCUUUUUCAUUAUAAAAUAUUAUUUUGGAAUAUCAAAUUGCCCAAACUGUUUAACUUGUGUUAAGCAAGUCUUAUAGAGUCACACCAUACAAAGAAUUAUUUUUUAGCAUUUUUCAGUAAGAAAGCAUCAAAGCAUUCAUUCUUCAUUGGGAUUUUUGAAAGUAUCACACCCAUCUAUUUAUAAACUGAUGAAUUGCUCUAAAAACAAAGAUCGGUUAGAAAAAAUAAACCAGAGGAGACUGUAGACUACAUAGAAGAAUUCAAAGUGACGACAUAUGGCUUCUGGCACCAGUGUUCUGCAGUUGUGCUGGAAGAGAGAAGAGAAUGGAAAGAAGGAGUAUUACCCAAAAUGGUAUUGAUUUAAAAUGUGAAUGUCUUGAUAUGGAUCUUCUAAUAUGGGGGCUACACCUGGAUUUAUGAAGUAGUGAACUGCUAGGAGGAAAGGGUACAACUGCAAACCUGGUGGAUAUGAACAACUAUAAACAAAAGAGUCACCAAGAUGGCCCCAUAUGUUUUAGUUGAGUUUAGGCAAGUGUCCCCCACAAAUAACUCGGCUGAUUGUUACUAAUCAGAGUUCAGAACAGGCACAAAAGCUUAACUAUUUGCAUGGUUACUCUUAAUCAAAUUCACUUUGAGUUUCCUAUGUAUGUCUGUAUCAAGUUCACUGUUUGAAUUUCUUUACUAUCAGGUACUUCCCUCAGGAAUUCAAUUGCUGAAAUAUGGAGCAUGCGCUGUUUGCAUUUCCCCAAGAGAUUUCUAGACUUUUUUUUCCCCACAGAAAUAACACUUGAAAACAGCAUAUCUAUCCUGCCAGCUCAGAAACUAAAAUGAGAGGCAGGCAUUCGGGAACACAACGCUCUAACCAGUUCCACGAAAACAAACACACAGAACUUCUCAGAAACAAAUUUAUCUCAGGAAGUUUAAGCAGGUAAAACUUAUUCAUCUCAGACUGCAAUUUUAAAGUGACUACAGUGAUACUUCCAAGGGGCUGCCUAAUGUACAUGUGGAAAAGUAUCCCACAAGUUCUAGUGUUGGCUCUUGGGAAGAGAAAAACCUUCUGUCAGGCUUACCUGGGCUGUGGGAAACCAACACUAUGGUUCUUCAACAUCAGUGGACUGAGAGAGGGAGCAUUUAAACUCAUCUCAGUUUUCUUAGAUAACAACCUAAACAUAACUUAUCAGAUAAGCCUCCUCUGGAGAGAACUGUUUCUUUCUGUUGGAUGUAAUGGGAGGCUUUAAUGUAUAGCUCUAAUUCAUAGACAUCCAGUUUGGGUGAGAUAAAAAACAUGAGAAUCAGUGUGAGAAACGCAGUUUUGGGCACCUCAUUACACCUCUGUGAAAGGAAUGAAUGAAUAAUUUUUCAGAAUUUAGUAAUUAAGCCCACCAAAUGCAAAUGAUAGAAAUUUGCAUGUCUGCAUGUAAAAGGAAGAGAGUAAAAGAAUUUGAAGAAAUAAGGCUGUCCUGUAAAUCGCUGUUUAUUUUGGACACAUUUUCGCUGUUGCUAUUUAUAUCCUGGUCCCCAGACUAAAGUGGGAUGGAAAGCUGCUGUGUUACUGCAAGGUUUUGGUGUAUGUUUUGCUACCGCUCCUAGAACCAUUACUGCUGUUUGAUGUAGAUUCCUUUACUGUUCUUAAAAAUCAGAAGUUUCUCCAAGAUACUUAAUGAUUUGGUUGUUUCAUAGAAAAAAAGUAAAAGGAAGAGAAGAUGCUGAAUAAUAUAAAAUAAAUUACUUCUGUGUUUACGUUUUGGGUCGAUUUCUCAACUGGUUGCGGUAUUUGCUUGCAACGCUGAAUACAACAAAAUGUUCUUAGAAAGAAAGGAUUGGAAAAUCAGGGUCAGAGACUUUGCAAAUGUGGAAUACAAGUGUAUUUCUUUGGAAAGAUGUCAGGUUCUAUCAGCAAGGCCAGCAAAGACUGACACCUAAACAUCUAGUCCACAAAAGGCAGCAGUUUCCAGCCCUGUCCCCUGAGGGGUUUGACCCUUUCAUCAGUAGCACAUUGUUUGGUUGAGAAUGGUGUCUCUGGCUCCCAUCAACUUCCUACUAGGAUUGCUUAGUCUCUAACUUGGGCAGGAAAAAUACUGACUGGAAAAAUACCCUUGAAAGGGUGCCAGUCUCUGAUUUCAGUCCACUUUCUGCCAAGGUCAAAUUCCCCUCCAUUUCUAAACUUUUUUCAUUUAGUAUUAUUCCCUGUGGUUGAGAAGAAUUUCCCAUGGACACCAUUGGAACUGUUUCAUAAUUCUUUAUACUAACCUAACUCUCAUUAAAUGUAAAGCUAUAAGAAGCUAAAAUUACAGUAUUACAAUAUUUGGCCCUUGAAUUUGCCCGGUACUAUGAUGAAAAGUGCCUCUCUUCAGUGACCCUGGUUGGAAUGCUGGAUGAAGGCAAGUCAGUCUGUGCUCAGCCAGGUGGGAAUGCUGCUGCCUCAAGGGAAGUGUCCUGCCAGCAGUCCUGCCUUGAACAGAUUUGCAUAGCAGAAGUAAACUAACCCUAAUAUGCACUUUUCUACAGACAUUUUAUUAAACACAGUAGAAAUAGUUUUUUACACAGGUACUCUAUGAAAUAUACUCUAUGAAAUAAAGUAUGCAUGUCUUUUCAAGUUAAUGUUUCACACUUGAUUUGUUGGUGUUUUUUUCUUCUUUCACUUCUAUUUGCAUGAUGGGCUUGUACAGUGGUUUUGUUUUGUUUUUAAUUACACUGCUGUGUGUUUCCUUUUUUUCAUUAAGUACAGCAUCCUCUUGUACUCUGCUGGACAAUUCUCUCCUUAUACUUUACGCUUUUGUCCUUGCCCCCACAUGAAUCUGCUUUGCCAAGUUUUCAGCUGACAUAACAUUGUUCAUAUCCAGGAAGUUACUGAGCUCCUACUGCUUUCCCACUUCUGUUUAACUAUGGAUUAAACAGACAGCCUCUCUUCAGCUGCCUGCAAGGUCUCACUGUUUUGCUAGCUGGGACCACAUUUUUCAGAAGUGACAGUUUUGGGAGCAUUUUGGGAGAAAGGGUUUUCUGGUAUACAUCAGGACUCUUGACUGCUGCCUGCGUGCCAGUCUAUAUGGAACAAAACCUGUGUCUCAUUAUUGCCAUGAAUAAAAGAAAACAGAGUAAUUUAAAACAAUAUCCAAAAUAAAUGGCAAUAGUAAUUUGUGGAACUAUCUGAAAAUAUGCUAGAGCAAUUCAGAUGCUAGAAAUCCUCCAGUAUAAUCUAUAACCAGUGCUAGCUGCAGGCAGUACAGAUGCAAAACACUGAAAGAGAGCCAUAGUAAGAGAGUCACAAGGAAAGCACUACUCCUU
ensembl:lncRNA